rnacentral:rRNA from 1 species
UGGGCACUAGGUGUGGGGGACAUUCCACGUUUUCCGCGCCGUAGCUAACGCAUUAAGUGCCCCGCCUGGGGAGUACGGCCGCAAGGCUAAAACUCAAAGGAAUUGACGGGGGCCCGCACAAGCGGCGGAGCAUGCGGAUUAAUUCGAUGCAACGCGAAGAACCUUACCAAGGCUUGACAUGGACUGGAAAUACCUGGAAACAGGUGCCCCGCUUGCGGUCGGUUCACAGGUGGUGCAUGGCUGUCGUCAG